rnacentral:rRNA from 1 species
GACGAACGCUGGCGGCGUGCCUAAUACAUGCAAGUAGAACGCUGAAGGAGGAGCUUGCUUCUCUGGAUGAGUUGCGAAGGGGUGAGUAACGCGUAGGUAACCUGCCUGGUAGCGGGGGAUAACUAUUGGAAACGAUAGCUAAUACCGCAUAAGAGUAGAUGUUGCAUGACAUUUACUUAAAAGGUGCAAUUGCAUCACUACCAGAUGGACCUGCGUUGUAUUAGCUAGUUGGUGGGGUAACGGCUCACCAAGGCGACGAUACAUAGCCGACCUGAGAGGGUGAUCGGCCACACUGGGACUGAGACACGGCCCAGACUCCUACGGGAGGCAGCAGUAGGGAAUCUUCGGCAAUGGACGGAAGUCUGACCGAGCAACGCCGCGUGAGUGAAGAAGGUUUUCGGAUCGUAAAGCUCUGUUGUAAGAGAAGAACGAGUGUGAGAGUGGAAAGUUCACACUGUGACGGUAUCUUACCAGAAAGGGACGGCUAACUACGUGCCAGCAGCCGCGGUAAUACGUAGGUCCCGAGCGUUGUCCGGAUUUAUUGGGCGUAAAGCGAGCGCAGGCGGUUAGAUAAGUCUGAAGUUAAAGGCUGUGGCUUAACCAUAGUACGCUUUGGAAACUGUUUAACUUGAGUGCAAGAGGGGAGAGUGGAAUUCCAUGUGUAGCGGUGAAAUGCGUAGAUAUAUGGAGGAACGCCGGUGGCGAAAGCGGCUCUCUGGCUUGUAACUGACGCUGAGGCUCGAAAGCGUGGGGAGCAAACAGG